UGUCAUAUUGCUUAUUAUACUGACUGUCGUACUGUUAUAAGUUCAGCUUCCCAAUCAUGGCAAUCAUGCUUUAGAUUUAGCUGUUUUUUAGUCCCUAGUGAUCUGAAGACAAUCAGUAUUGUUCCAAUCAUUUACGAAUCCCUGGCUGAAGGGCCGAUGACAGACAGCGAACAGAGCUAAGCAAUUGUGUAAAUAUUGGAUACUCAAGUUUGGCCUUGGAUGAUAUGGAAUACAAAUAAAACUCGCAGGAUGCAACAAAUAAGACUGAAAUAAAAUGUGUUUAAAGCUCCAUUGGGAGCUGCGGGCCAAGUGAGAAUUGUUGUUUGCAAUCAGGCAAUACUCAACAAUAGCAACACCAGGGGCACGAGGCGACGAGACGAGAGUGGCAUUUGUAAAAGGAUGGCUGGCUUACAACUAGUUCUACCACGUGACUGUCCAAGGCGAGCGGGAGUGGGGAGGACAGUGCCAAAGUUUGUCCGUCUAAAUGUGCUUGAAGUGCAACAAUGACAUUCGAAAGCUGCCUUGAAUUGCAGACAAUCAGCGUGAAGCCGUAGCAGACGACAAGCAAAUUCAAAGUGGUUCCUCAUGAAAUAAAGUUAAUAAAGUGGAUAGACAGAAUGCCAUGCAUAUGCUGGCUGCUCAACUCUAGCUCAAUUAAAUACGGCUGCAAAACGAAGCACAAAUGCUACAACAUAA